rnacentral:rRNA from 1 species
AACGAACGCUGGCGGCAUGCCUAACACAUGCAAGUCGAACGAGACCUUCGGGUCUAGUGGCGCACGGGUGCGUAACGCGUGGGAACCUGCCCUUAUGUUUGGAAUAACUCCCCGAAAGGGGUGCUAAUACCGGAUAAUGUCUUCGGACCAAAGAUUUAUCGCCUUUGGAUGGGCCCGCGUUGGAUUAGCUAGUUGGUAGGGUAAGAGCCGACCAAGGCGACGAUCCAUAGCUGGUCUGAGAGGAUGAUCAGCCACACUGGGACUGAGACACGGCCCAGACUCCUACGGGAGGCAGCAGUGGGGAAUAUUGGACAAUGGGCGAAAGCCUGAUCCAGCAAUGCCGCGUGAGUGAUGAAGGCCUUAGGGUUGUAAAGCUCUUUUACCCGGGAUGAUAAUGACAGUACCGGGAGAAUAAGCUCCGGCUAACUCCGUG